rnacentral:rRNA from 1 species
UACGGAGGAUGCGAGCGUUAUCCGGAUUUAUUGGGUUUAAAGGGUGCGUAGGUUGUUUUUUAAGUCAGCGGUCAAAGCCCGGGGCUCAACCCCGGCCUGCCGUUGAAACUGGCGGCCUCGAGUGGGCGAGAAGUAUGCGGAAUGCGUGGUGUAGCGGUGAAAUGCAUAGAUAUCACGCAGAACUCCGAUUGCGAAGGCAGCAUACCGGCGCCCGACUGACGCUGAGGCACGAAAGCGUGGGUAUCGAACAGG